rnacentral:rRNA from 1 species
AGAGCGAACGCUGGCGGCAGGCCUAACACAUGCAAGUCGAGCGCCCGUAGCAAUACGGGAGCGGCAGACGGGAUAGUAACACGUGGGAACGCGCCCUUCGGUUCGGAAUAACUCAGGGAAACUUGAGCUAAUACCGGAUACGCCCUUACGGGGAAGAUUUAUUGCCGAAGGAACGGCCCGCGUCCGAUUAGCUAGUUGGUGAGGUAAUGGCUCACCAAGGCGACGAUCGGUAGCUGGUCUGAGAGGAUGACCAGCAUCACUGGGACUGAGACACGGCCCAGACUCCUACGGGAGGCAGCAGUGGGGAAUAUUGGACAAUGGGCGCAAGCCUGAUCCAGCCAUGCCGCGUGGAUGAUGAAGGCCUUAGGGUUGUAAAGUCCUUUUAACGGGGAAGAUAAUGACGGUACCCGUAGAAUAAGCCCCGGCUAACUUCGUGCCAGCAGCCGC